rnacentral:tRNA from 1 species
GAGUGUAUAGCUUAGUCUGGUAAAGCACUAAACUUUUAAUUUAUCUAUCUUAGGUUCGAAUCCUAAUACACUCA